UACCUGGUUGAUGCCUGCGAGUAGUCAUAUGCGUUGUGCUCAAAAACUAAGCCAUGCACGUCUAAGUACAAACUAAAUGAUGGUGAAACUGCAAAUGGCUCAUUACAACGGUUAUGAUGUACCCGGGAGUUCCGAUGGAUAUUUCCAGUAACACUAGAACUAAUACAUGUCCCUGCGUUUAUUAGUUUCGCACAGUCCGUCGCUGAGUCAUGGUAAACAGUUGAUCGACUCGACGUCCCGGAACAGUUUCCGCCCCAUCAGCUUCGAUGGUUGGGUAUUGGCCUACCAUUGCAACAACGGGUAACGAGGAAUUAGGGUUUGAUUUCGGAGAGGGAGCCUGAGAAACGGCUACCACAUCUACGGAUGGCAGCAGGCGCGCAAAUUACCCAAUGCAGACACUGUGAGGUAGUGACGAGAAAUAAUAAAGCGGGACUUCUGUUUCGCUAUUAUAAUGAGGAAUAACCAAAGGUCAUUCCGAUUAGCAACUGAUGGGAAAGUCUGGUGCCAGCAGCCGCGGUAAUACCAGCGUCAGUAGCAUAUAUUAAAAUUGUUGCAGUUAAAACGUCCGUAGUCUGUACGUCGUCCCAAACUCACUGCAGUCUUCCGUUUUCUUAAUUGAAUGCGGUAGUUUCUGCAGUCACUCCCUUGAUCAAAUUAGGUUGUUCAAGGUAGACCAAGUCUUCAUAUUUUCACAUGGAAUUGGGUGAGGGAACUUAAGAGUUUAAGUUUCUCGUCUUAGGAUCAUCCGGGGUCAUUCGUACUCGUCCGCGAGAGGUGAAAUUCUUGGACCGGACGAAGACGACCAGCAGCGAAAGCAUCUGUCAGGGAUGUUUUCUGCGACAAAGGACGAAGGUCAGGGUAUUGAAGACGAUUAGAUACCGUCGUAGUCCUGACUGUAAACUAUGCCAACUUGGGUCUUGCUGGGCGAUGCUUUGUGAGACCCACACAGAAAUGAAAGUGUAUGGGUUCUGGGGGUAGUAUGGACACAAGUCUGAAACUUGAAGGAAUUGACGGAAGAGCACCAUAAGACGUGGAGCUUGCGGCUUAAUUUGACUCAACGCGGGAAAACUUACCAGGUCAAGACAUGGGCGUGAUUGACAGGCUAAUGACUUUUCUCGAUUCCAUGGAUGGUGGUGCAUGGUCGCUGGUCGCACUUAGUUGGUGCAGUGAUUUGUCAGGUUUAUUCCGGUAACGAACGAGACCUCGGCCUUGUAAAUAGCUAUGCUGCUUACAGGGACAUUGGCGGAUACGCCAAGGAAGCUCGAGGCAAUUGCAGAUCUGGAAUGCCCUUAGAUGUCCUGGGUCGCACGCGUGCUACAAUGACGCCACGAACGAGCUUGCAUGAUGAAAGUUAUGCAUAAUCAGCAGUCGGCGUCUUAAGGGAUAGUCUCUUGUAACUGUGGGACUCCAACUAGGAAUGUCUCGUAAGCACAAGUCAACAUCUUGUGUUGAUUACGUCCCUGCUCUUUGUACACACCGCCCGUCGCUCCUACCGAUUGAGUGAUCCGGUGAAUAAUUCGGACUGCAGCAGUGUUCGGUUCCUGAGCGUUGCAGUGGAAAGUCUAGUGAACCUUAUCACUUAGAGGAAGGAGAAGUCGUAACAAGGUUUCCGUAGGUGAACCUGCAGAAGGAUC
rnacentral:rRNA from 1 species